rnacentral:lncRNA from 1 species
GCCAGCCCCGCGCUCUACCAGGCAGAGCGCGUGUGGCCGCCGAGCACAUGGACCCACUGGUCAAGCGGGCUCGGCAAGGCCAGGAUGAAGAGAAGCUACGAACUUAGCAUUCCCAGAGCCCCCCGAGUGGAUAUCCGCGUGGAAAGGAUGUUGGCAGCCCCGGUGACCUCGGAGUCACGGCUGGAUCCACCCUCUUUGGUUUUCUUCUCCCUUGUCUCAGGUCUGAUUUUCUUAACUCUACUACGGUAAGAAGAUGCCCUCCAUCAGCAGGCCGUGUCUGCUGGGACCUCUCUGGAGACUUCCUGAACCCUGUGGAUUUACAGUAAGAUGCAGUUUCCUGGGGAGUAAUUCUGGUGGAUACAAAUUCCGGAGUAUUACACCUGGCUUGCCUGGAGAUGUUACAAGUAGCUGGAUGGAUUCUUCAGCCUGGAUGCCCACUGAAAACAAGGACCGAAACUAAGAGGAUUGUAUCUCUACCCUUGACUCAAUGAGAAUGUUUGUUGUCAUCUCUCGGGCUACCUGGAGCUCCCUCUAAAAUAGAGCCGAGUUCUGUCACCACAGACAUUGGCAGUGGCACUUGCAUGCCCCUGGCAAGCAGUCUAUCCUGAGGUGGAGGAAGUUGCCCUUGAGUUCUGGCUGGUAACCAGCACAGGGGCUGGGACACUGCCUGAUUGAGGUGGCCAUUGAGAAUUCAAGUGUACCUCUUGGUCCCUGAUGCAGAAAUGAAGUCCCCAGCAUGCUCAAGAAGAGCUUCCUUGGAGGAUGAGAGGCAUGGGAAUCUAAGUAUACCCUUUAAGCGUUCCAGAAGGAUUUUGAGAUCCUUUCCUAAAUCAAAGGUGGAAUAUUUGGGGAUUUGGAAAAUUGAGCAUUUUUUUCCCCACUUGCUUGACUGUAAUGCUAACAUGCUCUCUCUGCUCCAACCUGGAGAAGCCAGUCUCUCAGAAGAACCAGUUGUGUUACUUUGCUGUGAGAUGCCUGCCCUAAGAGAGGAGCAGAAGGUCGGAACGGGUCCUCUAAUGUGAUAAUUAGAUGUGAAGCGUUGACUUAAGAGAUGCCAAGUAACUCAGCAGAUGUCACACAGACGAUAAAUAGCAAAGAUGGAAGUCUUCAUGCCGGAGGCAAUCCUAUAAGACAGCUGAGUUCUGCAGAGCUGGAGACAGACUUGCUCAGGUGAUAGAUCCAGCCAUGAUACUGACCCUAAGAGAAUGAGACGCUCUGCAGAAGACAGAAGAUUCCUGAAACUGGGAAAGGUGCCUAGAAAUCCUGAUAAGAGUGAAGAAGGAGCUGGCAGAGCAGCCUUCCUCCGCACUAUGAAAGACAUCCAACAGAGAGCAAGUUCCCACCUCACUUCCAGCUUGACUCCUUUUUAUCUCCUAACUGUGGUCUGUGAUGUCUUCAGCAAUGGGUACCUGGAGGCACAGCAGCCAUGUUGAACCUAUGAGGUGAUGAAAAACCAUGCAACUAGAAACCAGAAUGGAAGAAAAGAAGAAGCUGGAUCCUUGACUGAAUUGUCGAUGGGGGAUAGUCCAUCAUCCCAGGGCUAAGACCACCUCCAGAUUUCUUGUUUGGUGAAACAAGUCCUGAUUGUUUACAUUCCCUCGUGUUGAGCUGUCUCUUGCUUGUAGCUGAAAGCAUUUCUAAUAGAUAUUCAGAUUAUCAGCCUUAGCUCCAAGCUAGAAUACUCUAUGGGACCUUAGCUUCUCCAUGAAUUCCUUUGCUCAUCUGUGUAAUGCUCAAUAAAUGUAAAUUGAACCCUGAAUGAGGGACAAUGACACUA